rnacentral:tRNA from 1 species
AAAAGAUUAGUUUCAAGAUUAAAACAUUAGCUUGUCAAGCUAAAAAUAUUUUAUAAAUAUCUUUUG